rnacentral:rRNA from 1 species
CAGUCGCCACGGGAAUACGUAGGUGGCAAGCGUUGUCCGGAAUUAUUGGGCGUAAAGGGCUCGCAGGCGGUUUCUUAAGUCUGAUGUGAAAGCCCCCGACUCAACCGGGGAGGGUCAUUGGAAACUGGGAAACUUGAGUGCAGAAGAGGAGAGUGGAAUUCCACGUGUAGCGGUGAAAUGCGUAGAGAUGUGGAGGAACACCAGUGGCGAAGGCGACUCUCUGGUCUGUAACUGACGCUGAGGAGCGAAAGCGUGGGGAGCGAACAGGAUUAGAUACCCGCGUAGUCCCUGUCUCUUAUAC